rnacentral:rRNA from 1 species
AACGAACGCUGGCGGCGUGGAUUAGGCAUGCAAGUCGUACGGGGAUACGUUGUAGUAAUACGAUGUGUCCAAGUGGCGUAAGGGCGAGUAACACGUGGGUAACGUACCUCGACGCUGGGAAUAACCUUCCGAAAGGAGGGCUAAUACCGAAUGUGGUCAUUGUGCUCCGGCAUGAUGGCUAAAGGUGGGGACCCGCAAGGGCCUGCCGUGUUGAGAGCGACCCGCGUCCUAUCAGCUAGUUGGUGGGGUAACGGCCUACCAAGGCGAUGACGGGUAGCCGAGUUGAGAGACUGACCGGCCGCAUUGGGACUGAGACACUGCCCAGACUCCUACGGGAGGCUGCAGUCGAGAAUCUUUCGCAAUGGGGGAAACCCUGACGAAGCGACGCCGCGUGCGGGAAGAAGGCCUUCGGUUGUAAACCGCUUGAGCAGGGCGAACGCCGCGCUGUUAAUAGCAGUUGCGGUCGUGACGGUACCUGCAGAACAAGCCACGGCUAACUCUGUGCCAGCAGCC